rnacentral:rRNA from 1 species
AGUGAACGCUGGCGGUAGGCCUAACACAUGCAAGUCGAACGGCAGCACAGUAAGAGCUUGCUCUUACGGGUGGCGAGUGGCGGACGGGUGAGGAAUACAUCGGAAUCUACUUUUUCGUGGGGGAUAACGUAGGGAAACUUACGCUAAUACCGCAUACGACCUACGGGUGAAAGCAGGGGAUCUUCGGGCCUUGCGCGAUUGAAUGAGCCGAUGUCGGAUUAGCUAGUUGGCGGGGUAAAGGCCCACCAAGGCGACGAUCCGUAGCUGGUCUGAGAGGAUGAUCAGCCACACUGGAACUGAGACACGGUCCAGACUCCUACGGGAGGCAGCAGUGGGGAAUAUUGGACAAUGGGAGCAAGCCUGAUCCAGCCAUACCGCGUGUGUGGAGAAGGCCUUCGGGUUGUAAAGCCCUUUUGUUGGGAAAGAAAAGCAGCAGGUUAAUACCCCGCUGUUCUGACGGUACCCAAAGAAUAAGCACCGGCUAACUUCGUG